rnacentral:siRNA from 1 species
AGCUUGAGCAAUCUUCUCCGACU